rnacentral:rRNA from 1 species
UAGUACGGCGAGUGAAGCGGGAAGAGCUCAAGCUUAAAAUCUCCGUGCAAGUUUUGUGCGGCGAAUUGUAGUCUAUAGAAGCGUGGUCAGCAUGGGCACUUGGGGCAAGUUCCUUGGAAGAGGACAGCAUGGAGGGUGAUACUCCCGUUCAUUUCUGAGUUGCUCGUGCGUACGACCCGUUUUCUUUGAGUCGCGUUGUUUGGGAAUGCAGCGCAAAGUAGGUGGUAAAUUCCAUCUAAAGCUAAAUAUUGGUGCGAGACCGAUAGCGAACAAGUACCGUGAGGGAAAGAUGAAAAGAACUUUGAAAAGAGAGUUAAAGAGUACCUGAAACUGCUGAAAGGGAACCGAAUCGUUUCCAGUGUCUAUAAUCCGUGGUAUAUUUCAUUGGCGAGUGUGUGCGUGCGUGUGCUGUGGCAGCGGCUUUUUUGGCUGCGCUCGGCGUGUGUGCUGUGUGUGCUUGCUGGUGCUCUGUGCUGCGGUGGGACGUCAAGGUCAGUUCGUAUGCUGCGGGAAAUGGCUGCCGAGGAGGUAGGGCUUACGCUUGCGUUUGUCUGUUAUAUCUUGGUGGACGAGUAGUCGCGGUUGGGACUGAGGUGCCUACAACGUGCUUUUGAGUGGGUUUGUGUCUCCGUGUACGCCGUGUGCGGAUAGCUUGCUAUGCGUGUGUGGUUGUGUGUGGAUUGAUGCGAGCUUUAACUUGUUGCCGUUC